UGCAGUCGAGCGGACAGAUGGGAGCUUGCUCCCUGAUGUUAGCGGCGGACGGGUGAGUAACACGUGGGUAACCUGCCUGUAAGACUGGGAUAACUCCGGGAAACCGGGGCUAAUACCGGAUGGUUGUUUGAACCGCAUGGUUCAGACAUAAAAGGUGGCUUCGGCUACCACUUACAGAUGGACCCGCGGCGCAUUAGCUAGUUGGUGAGGUAACGGCUCACCAAGGCAACGAUGCGUAGCCGACCUGAGAGGGUGAUCGGCCACACUGGGACUGAGACACGGCCCAGACUCCUACGGGAGGCAGCAGUAGGGAAUCUUCCGCAAUGGACGAAAGUCUGACGGAGCAACGCCGCGUGAGUGAUGAAGGUUUUCGGAUCGUAAAGCUCUGUUGUUAGGGAAGAACAAGUGCCGUUCAAAUAGGGCGGCACCUUGACGGUACCUAACCAGAAAGCCACGGCUAACUACGUGCCAGCAGCCGCGGUAAUACGUAGGUGGCAAGCGUUGUCCGGAAUUAUUGGGCGUAAAGGGCUCGCAGGCGGUUUCUUAAGUCUGAUGUGAAAGCCCCCGGCUCAACCGGGGAGGGUCAUUGGAAACUGGGGAACUUGAGUGCAGAAGAGGAGAGUGGAAUUCCACGUGUAGCGGUGAAAUGCGUAGAGAUGUGGAGGAACACCAGUGGCGAAGGCGACUCUCUGGUCUGUAACUGACGCUGAGGAGCGAAAGCGUGGGGAGCGAACAGGAUUAGAUACCCUGGUAGUCCACGCCGUAAACGAUGAGUGCUAAGUGUUAGGGGGUUUCCGCCCCUUAGUGCUGCAGCUAACGCAUUAAGCACUCCGCCUGGGGAGUACGGUCGCAAGACUGAAACUCAAAGGAAUUGACGGGGGCCCGCACAAGCGGUGGAGCAUGUGGUUUAAUUCGAAGCAACGCGAAGAACCUUACCAGGUCUUGACAUCCUCUGACAAUCCUAGAGAUAGGACGUCCCCUUCGGGGGCAGAGUGACAGGUGGUGCAUGGUUGUCGUCAGCUCGUGUCGUGAGAUGUUGGGUUAAGUCCCGCAACGAGCGCAACCCUUGAUCUUAGUUGCCAGCAUUCAGUUGGGCACUCUAAGGUGACUGCCGGUGACAAACCGGAGGAAGGUGGGGAUGACGUCAAAUCAUCAUGCCCCUUAUGACCUGGGCUACACACGUGCUACAAUGGGCAGAACAAAGGGCAGCGAAACCGCGAGGUUAAGCCAAUCCCACAAAUCUGUUCUCAGUUCGGAUCGCAGUCUGCAACUCGACUGCGUGAAGCNGGAAUCGCUAGUAAUCGCGGANCAGC
rnacentral:rRNA from 1 species